UAUCGGAUCUUUUUAAUGGCUCCUCUACUGGCUCCAGAUUCAAUUCUCCAUUCAAAUCCAAUUUUAUAUGUGUCGAUCUUUCCACCUCAUGAACUUCAUCAAGUUCAAUUUUACAAGCAUUAGCUCUUUCAUUAAGGAACUCCUUUUUCAAAAAGACUGCUUGACUACUGAUAAACACAUUUUGUUCUGCAGCAAGGUAGAAGUAGUAUCUUUUAGUUUUCUUUGGGUACCCUACAAACAAGCAUCUGUCAGACUUCAGUCCAAGCUUAUCUGUAUUUAAACACUUGACAUAAGCUGGACAUCCCCAGAUCCUA
rnacentral:lncRNA from 1 species